AGCUUUGCACAGUGGCAGUAUCGUAGCCAAUGAGGUUUAUCCGAGGCGCGAUUAUUGCUAAUAGAAAUUUCUAUAACCAAAAUGUUAACCUUCUGCUGUUAUCUUUGUUAAACAUAAUUCCUUUUGUUGUCAUAUUUUGUAUG